rnacentral:rRNA from 1 species
AUUGAACGCUGGCGGCAGGCCUAACACAUGCAAGUCGAACGAGUGGCGGACGGGUGAGUAAUGUCUGGGAAACUGCCUGAUGGAGGGGGAUAACUACUGGAAACGGUAGCUAAUACCGCAUACCAUCAGAUGUGCCCAGAUGGGAUUAGCUUGUUGGUGGGGUAACGGCUCACCAAGGCGACGAUCCCUAGCUGGUCUGAGAGGAUGACCAGCCAAACUGGAACGGAGACACGGGCCAGACUCCUACGGGGGGCAGCAGGGGGGAAUAUUGCACAAUGGGCGCAAGGCUGAUGGAGCCAUUCCGGGUGUAUGAAGAAGGCCUUCGGGUUGGAAAAUACUUUCAGCAGGGAAGCGGUACCUGCAGAAGAAGCACCGGCUAACUCCGUGCCAGCAGCCGCGGUAAUUC